GAUGAACGCUGGCGGCGUGCCUAACACAUGCAAGUCGAACGGAAGGACGAUAAGCUUGUGCUCUUACUGUUAGCGGCUGGCGGGCGGGUAACGCGUGCAUCACCAACUUCUUUUUCUGGGAUAAUUACGGAAAACAGGUUACACUAACACAUAAUAUUUCGUACCGCUUGGUGCAAAGGAGAAUCACGGCUUUCCCGUUUCAAUUAGCUGCUUCCGCGCUGGAUAAGCUAGUUGGUAAGGUAACGGCCUAUCAAGGCGACGAUGCGUAGCUGACCUGAGAGGAUGAUCGGCCACACUGGAACUGAGACACGGUCAAGACUCCUACGGGAGGCAGCAGUAGGGAAUCUUGGGCAGUGGGCGAAAGCCUGACGGAGCAACACCGCGUGGGUGAUGAAGGUCUUCGGGUCGUAAAGCCCUGUUGUUGGGAAAGAACAGCUGUGGGUGUAUACGUGGACGUUUUGACGGUACCUAAUGAAUAAGCACCGGCUAACUACGUG
rnacentral:rRNA from 1 species